GACGAACGCUGGCGGCGUGCUUAACACAUGCAAGUCGAACGGAAAGGCCCUGCUUUUGUGGGGUGCUCGAGUGGCGAAGGGGUGAGUAACACGUGAGUAACCUGCCCUUGACUUUGGGAUAACUUAAGGAAACUGGGGCUCAUACCGGAUAGGAGCUCCUGCUGCAUGGUGGGGGUUGGUAAGUUUCGGCGGUUGGGGAUGGACUAGCGGCUUAUGGGCUUGGUGGGGGGGUAGUGGGUUACCAAGGCUUUGAAGGGUAGCCGACCUGGGAGGGGGACCGGCCACGUUGCGACGGGGCUACGGCCCAGACUCCUAUGCGACGCAGCGGUGGAGAAUGUUACACAAUAGGCGGAAGCCUGAUGCAGCCACGCCGCGUGCGGGAUGACGGCCUUCGGGUUGUAAACCACUUUCGCCUUAGACGAGGCGUUAGUGACGGUAACGGGUAAAGAAGCACCGGCUAACUACGUG
rnacentral:rRNA from 1 species